rnacentral:rRNA from 1 species
CUGAUCUCAGUUCGGAUUGCAGGCUGCAACCCGCCUGCAUGAAGUCGGAAUCGCUAGUAAUCGCGGGUCAGCAUACCGCGGUGAAUACGUUCCCGGGCCUUGUACACACCGCCCGUCACACCACGAAAGUUGGUAACACCCGAAGCCGGUGGCCUAACCCUUAGGGGAGGGAGCUGUCGAAGGUGGGACUGAUGAUUGGGGUGAAGUCGUAACAAGGUACC